rnacentral:rRNA from 1 species
UGCGUAGGUGGCAUCGUAAGUCAGAAGUGAAAGUUUGCGGCUUAACCGUAAAAUUGCUUUUGAUACUGCAAUGCUUGAAUCAGGUUGAGGUUGGCGGAAUGUGGCAUGUAGCGGUGAAAUGCUUAGAUAUGCCAUAGAACACCGAUUGCGAAGGCAGCUGACUGGACCUGUAUUGACGCUGAGGCACGAAAGCGUGGGGAGCGAACAGGAUUAGAUACCCUGGUAGUCCACGCCCUAAACGAUGCUCACUCGAUGUGUGGCCUUCGGGUCGCGCAUCCAAGCGAAAGCGUUAAGUGAGCCACCUGGGGAGUACGUUCGCAAGAAUGAA